rnacentral:lncRNA from 1 species
AACAUGGAAUGAAAAGUCAGCAAACUUUAGCUCUCGUGACUUAGACAACUAACAAUGAUCAGGAGCCCUGUGAAAGCUUAUGGGGAGCAGCACACCCUGGAACAGGCAUUAUUCUUAAUGCUACUCAGGUGUGGAGGCUUUUUCUUUUUCCUUCCAACCCCUCAGCUUUGCUCUGGAUGGAUGAGGUCAGCAGAUUGCGGCCUUCAUAAUCUCUGCAGUGGGAAGCCCAACAGAAUGAAACAAGAGGAGCUGCAUUUGGAUCUCAGCUCUAUGUCCCUCGCACUUGAGAUGCUGCCACAACGUGGCUUGAUGAGCAGUGCUAGGCCCACGCCCAGGAUCUGAAACCAUGAACCACGGGCCACUGAAGUGGAGUGGGCAAACUUAACCUCUACACCACCAGGCUGCACCCUGGCUUGUGGUAUUUUAAAGUGGAAGUUUCAGUUUGUUGCAACCAAAAGAAUCUUUCUUACAACAUAAAGGAAGAAUCUGGGCAAUUAGUUUUGAGGAGGAUAACUUUUUAGUG